GGGGAUUGAAAAAAAAAUGUGAGUGUGUUAAUGUGUGUGUGUUUCUGUUAGUGAGUGUGUGUGUCUGUUAGUGAGUGUGUGUGUGUUAGUGAGUGUGUGUGUGUCUGUUAGGAAGUGUGUUACUAUGUGUGUGCCUGUUUGUGAAUGUGUGUGUCUGCUAGUGACUGUGUGUGUCUGUCAGUGAGUGUGUAUGUGUAUUUAUAAGGCGGGGCCAGUUACUAAAGAGGCAUUGCUGGAAAUACUGGCUACUUACCAGUCAUCCCAUGGGGAGGAUUCCCUAAAUGUGAAAGAAGUGGUGCUUGUGAGAUGCAAUGGAGGUUCAGAUGAGUAAGUUGUCAAUCACAUACAUCAUGG